rnacentral:tRNA from 40 species
GCGCCCGUAGCUCAGCUGGAUAGAGUACCUGGCUACGAACCAGGCGGUCGGAGGUUCGAAUCCUUCCGGGCGCGCCA